rnacentral:rRNA from 1 species
GUCUGGUGCCAGCAGCCGCGGUAAUUCCAGCUCCAAUAGCGUAUAUUAAACUUGUUGCAGUUAAAAAGCUCGUAGUUGAAUUUCUGCGUCACCGUAUUUUGACUUUUGUCGACUGUCGGUUUCGCUUUUGGGAUUUAUCCCUUUUUACUUUGAGAAAAUUAAAGUGUUUCAAGCAGACUUUUGUCUUGAAUACUUCAGCAUGGAAUAAUAGAGUAGGACUUUGGUUCUAUUUUGUU